UCGAGGAUCUUUAGCAAUGCCCGAAAGGGUGACUAUGCGACGCCGCGUGGAGGAUGAAGGCCUUCGGGUCGUAAACUCCUGUCAGGGGGGAAGAAACCUCAUGUGUUAAUAGCAUGUGAGCUGACAUCACCCCCAAAGGAAGCCACGGCUAACUCUGUGCCAGCAGCCGCGGUAAGACAGAGGUGGCAAGCGUUGUUCGGAUUUAUUGGGUGUAAAGGGCAGGUAGGUGGCUAUGUAAGUCUGGUGUGAAAUCCCAGGGCUCAACCCUGGAACUGCAUUGGAAACUACAUGGCUUGAAUAUCGGAGAGGUAAGAGGAAUUCUCGGUGUAAGGGUGAAAUCUGUAGAUAUCGAGAGGAACACCAGAGGCGAAGGCGUCUUACUGGCCGAUUAUUGACACUGAGCUGCGAAAGCAAGGGGAGCAAACAGG
rnacentral:rRNA from 1 species